CUGGAAAAGAGGAAGUUGGCCAGGGGUGGGUCAGUCCUGUGGUUAGGUACCCUUGCUCCAGACCAGGCUCCGAGAUGACAGCCGGGGUCUCUGCUCUGCGGAGGGCAGGAGGGCAGCACCCACUCCAUGGAGCCCUUCUCCUUUUUGUCAGCAGCUCAAAGACCUCUGGAGGCAAGUUGCUACCCUGAAUUAAGAAGAAAGGAAGGAAGGUUCUGAAUGCAAAGCCUGUGACCCACCCUCGGAUGGCAGCCCCUGCUCCCUCCCUGUGCCCCUAAAAGCUGACAGCCAUGUCCUCUUCUCUGCCAUGGCCAGGGAACGAGAGGCUGGUUCUGUGCCAGAGCUGACAGAUGCCCACAGCAGCACUGAGGACCUUCUCUCACUAGAUAUGGCUCUUCAGGGCACAGAGUACUACAGGGACCUGGGCUACGGGUCACCUGUGGAGAUGACGUCAUGGCUCCCUUUGACCUCGUGGUCCCAGGAGAAGGUGCCAGGGGAGCUUGUAGUCCCCCAACUCCAGGAGCCGAACCACCUCCUUCAGAGCCCCGAUGCCCUUGGUUCUGGGGACCGAGUUGCUGAGCCCUUUCCCACGUUGGCCCGUUCAGUGACCACAUCUAGGAGGCACAGCUGGGAGAGGCCCCUCUCUCCCUUAGAUAUGGACCGGAGACUCAGCCUUGACACCUCUGACAUGGGCAGUGACGAGGAGCGGAGUUUGCCCAGAACAUUUGCCAGCCACUCCUUGAAUCUGCCUGGAGGGGGCCUGCAGGCCUGGGCAGAGAGGACAGGUCAUCGAGGAGCAACCGUCAGGGGGAGAGUCUCACCUGAGCUUCCCUACGUAGGCCUGGAGGAGCCAGAGGAUGACUCACUGAGACAGCAGGUAAGUGGGAAUGUGCCAAGACAAGCAAGUGGGCAUACUCAGGAUGGCCUUUCUCGUUUCUGGACCAGAGACAAGCUGCAGAAGCAGGAUGGGCUUUGUAAUAGUUAAAGGAAUUGUUGAGGAUUGAAG
rnacentral:lncRNA from 1 species